rnacentral:tRNA from 1 species
AAGAUUAUUAAUUUAAGAACUUCUAAUUCUUUCUCAUGAAUUUAAUUCAUUAAUCUUU